UACGUAGGGUGCGAGCGUUAAUCGGAAUUACUGGGCGUAAAGCGUGCGCAGGCGGUUUUUUAAGCCAGAUGUGAAAGCCCCGGGCUCAACCUGGGAAUGGCAUUUGGGACUGCAAGGCUUGAGUGCGGCAGAGGAGAAUGGAAUUCCUGGUGUAGCGGUGAAAUGCGCAGAUAUCAGGAAGAACACCCGUGGCGAAGGCGGUUCUCUGGGACGGUACUGACGCUGAGACGCGAAAGCGUGGGGAGCGAACAGG
rnacentral:rRNA from 1 species